rnacentral:lncRNA from 1 species
AAUGUGCCAGCUAUUGAGCUAAACUUGGGAUGCUAGAAAAGACAAUCCCUUUUCUGGAUUAGGAAGUUUACAUUUUAAAGAUGCAAGAAGGCACUAAACAAGGGCAGUGAGGUACAACAAGCUCUGUGGUUUUAUUUCUCCUAAAUGGGAGGAAACAUAGAGAGGAAGAAAAGUAUGCAAUCUCAGUUGCAAAUGGAGGCAGGGGCUCACCAUGUUCUCUGAUACGAUUGUACCGCCCAUUGGUAAGAAUCAGAGGCUGAAAAGAUUCUGUUACUGAAACUCAACACUUAGUUGAUACCUGCUACAACUUUAACUACUCGUUGACUGUUUACGGCUUUUGCUGUAAGUUGGAGUAUGGUGACAAACACACAAAAUUAUUUGAUCUUCCUGUUGAGCUCUAGCUAAGGGUUCUUCAUAUAUUCUGGAUAUUAGACCUUCAUCAGAUAUGUGAUUUACAAAUAUUUUUUCCCAUUUGUUUGUUACCUUUUCACUAUCUUGAUACUCUACUUUGAGGUGAAAAUGCUUUUAAAUUCGAUGAAGUCCAAUUUAUCUAUUUUUUCUUUGAUUUCUUGUGCUUUUGGUAUUAUGUUUAAAUAUUGCAUUUCUAGAAUAAAUGUCAUGAAUAAUUAUACUGAUGAUUUCUUCUAAGAGUUUUAUAGUUUUAAUGCUUAUUUUUAGUUAUUUGAUUUAUUUGGGGUCUAUUUUUACAUAUAAUGUGAGGAAGGAUUACAACUUCCUUCUUUUUCAUGUAGAUAUGCAGAUGUUUGCAGCACCAUAUGUCAAAAAAAUCUCUUCUUUCCUCAUAAAAUUUUCUUGACACUCUUGUUAAAAUUCAAUUGACCAUAAAUGUAUGGGUUUAUUACAGUACUUAUAUUUCUAUUUCAUUGAUUUAUACAUCUAUCCUAUGCAAGUACCACAAAGUCUUGAUUACAGCAGUUUUAUAGUAAGCUUUGGAAUUGGCGAGUAUAUGUUUUCAAACUUAUUACUUUCCAAGAUUGUUUAGAUAAUUCUCAGUUCUUUUGUAUUUAAAUUUUUGCAUCAGUAUGUUAAUUUAUGCAAAAAAUGCAUUUGGGACUUGACAAGAUUUUGUUAAAUAUGUGGAUGAAGUUUUAGAGUAUUACAUCUUAACAAGUCUUUAAUCCAUGAACAUGGAAUUCCUUUCUAUUUAUUUAGGAUUUCUUUAUUUUAUUUUAAUGAUAUUUGGUACUUGCAGUGUACAAGUCUUAUACUUCUUUUGUUUAUUUAUACCUAAGAAUUUUAUUUUUGAUAAUAUUAUAAAUGUUAUGGUUUCCUUAAUUUAAAUUUUUGUAUUGUUCAUGGGUAUGUAUAGAAAAAAUACUUUGUACAAUGAUCUUAUAUCCUGAAACUUUGCUCAGUUCAUUUAUUUAAUAUUAGAUUUAACUGUUAGGGUGCAUCGCAUGUGAAUGUCUUAUGGUAAGCAAUUAGUUUCAUAUGCAAUUCAGUUACACUCAAAAACAGAUUCUGGGCUUGAUUUUCAACACAUUCUUUUCUGUGGCUGUGAGAUGACAGCUUUAGGAAAACACUGCUAGAGGAGCCCUUUGCUUUUCAGAUUAUGUAUUAAGAUAAGAAUUUUUAGCUUUCUGUUUCUUCUUCUUUUUCCCCAAAGCAUCUAGCAUUAUUUAAAAAAAAAAAGUCAUGCCAUUUCUGGUACUAAUUGUUUUAGCUUGCAUUUCCUAGAAAAUAAGCAUGAAGCAAAAUUUAAGCGUUAAUGCUUUUGUGGGAAGUAUAAUCCCAAGGCAAUGAAAGUUGGUGGAAAGCAUCCAGAAGCUGAAUGAAAAUAAAAGGUUAUGGGUUUUUUAUUUGAGCACUACUUCACAAGCUAAUAAAGAGACAAAGCAGGUUGAUAGGCCUUGCAGCAAAUCUUGGAUAGGUGAUACAUAUACAAGGACAAAUCACAAGUGUGAUAAAUUUCAAAAUUACUUAUAUUCCAUAUCUUCCCUGCUUCUUAUUCCCCAUUUACCAGCAUUUGUUUGAUGGAUAUUCUCUACUGAUAGAACUCUUUUUCUGCCCAAUCAAAACAUUUUAGCAGCAUAGUUUGGGAAAUGGAGAGCAGGAUAGCUAUGUGAACAAAUACAAUAUCUCAUAUAUCUAUUGACCAUUUUAAUAAGAAAUAUCACAUAAUUAUUUUUAUUAACUUGUGCACUAGAGUGUAUGGCUUUUAAUAAAUAUUUCAGAGAACUAUGACCUUAAUGUAGUUUUGUAUGUUCUAAAGUCUGAAGCAGCCUUGUAAAUUACAUAGUAUGCUGGAUUAUGAGCAUAUAAUAGUGCCCUAUUUUUUAAAGUCUUCUAAAUUAAUUCUAUUCAUAGUAAUGUUAUAUUGUAUAAUUAAUCUGGUACAACUAGUUCUACAUUUCAUUCCUUUAUUAAUAAAAUAUAAAUUCACCCA